CAGAGUAGAUUUUUGCGCGUUAAGUGUCAUCCGAACGGGGAGUUGUCGGGUGAACGAAAAGAGAAAUCUUGCGGUGCAAAAGUCGCAUCCCGCUGC
rnacentral:ncRNA from 1 species